GUGCUUGCUUCAGCAGCACAUAUACUAAAAUUGGAACGAUGCAGAGAAGAUUAGCAUGGUCCCUGCACAAGGAUGACACGUAAAUUUAUGAUGUGUUCCAUAUUUUA
ensembl:snRNA U6 U6 spliceosomal RNA